AUCUGCAUCCGAAAGUGACCCUGGGCUACUCAUGGCCUGGUCAUGAAGAGUGCAGGGAGACGGUGCUGACAAUAUUCCCCUGGGGUUUGGAAGAUCCACUCCUGCCCUUGCCAAUCCUUGGAUGUUUCCCACG
ensembl:snoRNA SNORA71 Small nucleolar RNA SNORA71